AACGAACGCUGGCGGCAUGCCUAACACAUGCAAGUCGAACGAGACCUUCGGGUCUAGUGGCGCACGGGUGCGUAACGCGUGGGAAUCUGCCCUUGGGUUCGGAAUAACAGUUUGAAACGACUGCUAAUACCGGAUGAUGACGUAAGUCCAAAGAUUUAUCGCCCAGGGAUGAGCCCGCGUAGGAUUAGCUAGUUGGUGGGGUAAAGGCCUACCAAGGCGACGAUCCUUAGCUGGUCUGAGAGGAUGAUCAGCCACACUGGGACUGAGACACGGCCCAGACUCGUACGGGAGGCAGCAGUGGGGAAUAUUGGACAAUGGGCGAAAGCCUGAUCCAGCAAUGCCGCGUGAGUGAUGAAGGCCUUAGGGUUGUAAAACUCUUUUACCCGGGAUGAUAAUGACAGUACCGGGAGAAUAAGCCCCGGCUAACUCCGUG
rnacentral:rRNA from 1 species